AUUUACAGUAAAUGGAACCAAAAUGUUCUUACAACUCAAAAGGCAUACACGUUUCACGAUAAGGGAGAAACCGAAUUUCAAAAAGCAGAGCAAUUCAUAUUUGAAAUCAAGACAAAACAACACAUUUAAAAACUGCCAGCGGACCACCCGAGAAGCGUGAACCGGUGCCACAGCUCGCAGGGAUAACACUUUGAAUGUCGGCACAUCUGGCACAACUUCCAAAGCUUGACCCGAUCAGAAGAGAUCUUGGAGGUGCCCUUUGUCCUUUGCAUCUAUUCCCAGCCUUAUCCAAAGGCAUCUGGCUGUCUGACAGUCACCCAGUCUGUUGUUGAGAAUUUUCCAUUGUGCGCGUGUGCCCAGUUCUGCCACAGGAGCUGGUCGCCCAUCUGACCACUGCAGGCCCACUUCGGAAGCUGUGCCUGAGGCUGGCUGACAUUGUCUUUGUUGCAGGACCAGACAGUAAUAUGGCAGUUGCUCAGCUGCUGCUUGAAUCAAAUCUCUGGCUUCAUGUCACCACCUACCGCCCUUCCGCCCCCUCCUCAGCCCAUUCCCCAAACCCCCUCUGUCCCCCCUCUGGCCCCAGAUGCUGGAGCUGAUGUUUCUCCGCGCCAUCAUUCGGCUGCGGCUCAGACUGUGCGUGCCGACCGCGUGUCACCUUCUCCUCUCCAGUGCAUGUGGACCUGCCGCGGGGCCCCGGGUCCAGCCUGUCGCCGCCUUCCAACGGCAGCUGUGGAGGGCAUCCGGCCCGGACGGCGGCUCGCCUGCUGCUCCUGGAGCUGCACUAUUGUGUUCCUCCACAGCAUAUGUUUCAGCUGAAGGUCAGCUCGCAGACACCAAAGCGUGGAGCGUGGCUACACUUCCCCAUAGCAGCCCGGCUGAACGUGGAGCCAGUAGGACUGCAGAGUCAUGCUGCUCAAGGCAGGCUAGGUGUUGAUUCUGUGCUAAAAACUCUGCUGCCUCACUUUUUCUUUGUCUUUACCUAAGAUUUACUACAGUUUUCUUAAAGAAAUUCACCAUUAAACACUUUGUCUUUA